rnacentral:lncRNA from 1 species
GUGUUCUUUGCUUACUCUUUCUCCAUCUUUAUCCUCUCUUUAGCCAAGUCAUGAACACUGACCUUUAUCUUCUUCUCCUCGUCACCCAAACACGCAUAUAUAUCCACAAACGCACACACUCACCAAAACAGAUCACAAUAAAUUGUUCAACAUCGCUUCAAUCUUCUCUCACCAGAAGCUGACAUUCUGCUGGCAUUCCAAGAAUGGGAAACUGUUGCAGAGCUGAAUCUUCAUCAUCAACGAUCUGGGCCGGCGAUGACUGGAACUCACUGCCUCGUGAUGGAGGAGAAGGCAAGAAGGGGCUUCUUGAUGAUGCUGAUGGAAAGAGAGUUUCUUCUUCUUCUUCACGCAGGAGAGAGAUCAAGAUCCAGAUCAGUAAGAAGGAUCUAGAGAAGUUGGUGCACAAAAUCGAGGCUCAAGGACUGUCUCUAGAGCAAGUCCUGCCUCUUCUGAUUAACAAGAACACUUUCAAUCGUCAUCAGUUGGGUUUCACGAAGCACGGCUGUCAUCGUUCAUGGAGACCGGCUUUGCAAAGUAUUCCAGAGGCCAUCUAGAAGAAGUUUUCUGGUCCUUUUCUCAUUCCUUUGUACGUACAUGGGGUAAGGCAUAGGUUUUGGUUUUUUUUUUUUUUUCCUUUUUUCUUGAUAUAUGACAAUUUUCUUAGAAGUAGUUACAUAAUCUCCUCUAGUAUUAGGUUAUGUUUGGUUUGUGAAAACGUACUUUCACACAAUAUAUGUGCUAAUGCUACAAAUGAUUUGAUUGGGGAGAUAUUUAUUUGCAUUUAAAGACUUAUCCUUUUACCUAGAAAGGAUAAAUCGUAGUGUUGUGGUUUCUUCCUUCACUUCAGUUAGAUCGAGUGUCAUCACAUAAUCUAAUAAUCACUCGGAGAAUUAUAGAGUCACCAUCGCUCAACUACUUGAGUAUUUGACAGUUCUUUUACGCAUAUACCACCCACGGUAUUUAGUCUCAUGUCAUUACUCAAUAAAGCAAAAUCGCGGAUAAUUACCUCACCGCUUCCAAACGCUCACGCCUUCCUUGAGACAAGCAAUAUAAAUCGGAUGUACUGCACAAAUCACCGAGUGAAAUCCUUGAAGAAGAAGCUUUGAUAUUCAAACAGCGUAUAUACUUCUUUAGUACUGCUACAGAACAACUGAAAAGCAAAAACCGCCUCUUGAAGAAUUUAUAUGUCAUGAACCCACGUGGAACCUACUUCACCAAAAUAUCUUCCACAUAAAUAAAAGUCCAAUUCGAACUUGGAAACAACGGCAUAUAGAAGCGUCCAAGAAACCUCAUACUUUCCCAUUGGGGCUUUGACAUAUUUUAAUGUGGGUCCAGCGUCGUAUACCGGGCUAAAAACUCGCCGCAGCGACGACGGCAGGAUUUGCAGGUGAUUUCAUGAGAAUGAGGCAUAUGAUGGAAGGUGGAAGUAGAGGAGGCAAUAUCAGUAGCUAUCCUGCGAAUGCGGAUGUGGUCCUUAGGCGUUUUCUGAUGGACCGAUGGCUGAGGAAUAAUGGUCCGUCCGUGCCACGUACAUUGCUCUGGUUGUUCAUCAUGUUAUGGGGUGGCAGCUUGCAAAGACAAUCUUGUACGACAAUACUUUGAGUCUUACGAAUUCUGAGAUCUAAUGACUGUAUCGUGUUGGGGAAAGAAAGAAAAGAGAAAGAUCAUCUCAACCGUUAACCAUUUGAAUAAGCCAAUGAAGCAAAAGCAAAGUCAUUUCCAUCCCUUCAACCAGUUAAAGAAUGAAAGAACUGAUUCAUGGAUCUGCACUGGCAAUAAGCCUGCUUUCAAUCUAUCGGUGCAAAACCCUAAUGCCAAAGACUCAUAUCUCAGGCCGUAUUUCCUUACCAUCCUCUGUUAUCUCCUCUACAUGUGGAUGGAUAGCACUCCUGAUUUCCACUCAAUAAUGGUUCAACCAAAUGAGAUAUUUAGGGGGCUUGAUGUAACUUUGAAUCAUCUCUCUAUUGUAUAAAAUGGGAAAACUGUAAUUUUCCUUCUCUUGUCCACAAUAUCAGUCUAUUUUCCGGAGAUUCCAUUCCCACGAACUUGGGUGUUACGGAUGUUUCAGUCAAUUUCGGCUUUCUAUGUUCUUACUUAGCAUUAAAUUCUCCGCUACGUCGGUUCUCUAGAAGUGGGUAUAAACUUUUCCUACUUUGUUUGAGUCCUGCAAUUUAUUUGAUUUCGUCCCAAUGCUUACGACUUCCAAUGAACUUUUCCUUGUGAAAAUACUUCCGAUCACCUAAGACGCUGCUCAGAAUAUAAAGAAAUUAUUUCGUAUUUCGGUUCGUUGGAAAAAUUCUCCUACUUGAUUAUCAAUGUUUCACUAGUCGUGCUUUAUUUUUUGUAUUUUUUUAUAAUCUCGUAUCUAAAGCACAACGGCAAAAUAGUGUGCUUGAGUAGGUUUUGAGAAGCUAUCAAUCAUUUAUUAAUAUAUUUAUAAUAAUUUGAUUAAUAUAAAUAUUAAUUUAUUAAAAACUAUUUGAUAAUUUAUUAAAUAUUCGUCAUUUAAGUCAGCUUUUUAUUAUUAUUAAUUUAUGUAAUUAGAUUAUUAAAAAUCACAGUAUGGCCAUAUCUGAAAAUAAAUAUUAGUUCCAACUCAAAUCAAUCAAAUUAAUUUGUUUCGAUCAAUUUAUAUAUAAUAUAAAUUGAGAGUAUACUCGACUCAACCUACAUUACUUGAACACAUAAAUAUUAAAAAAAAAAAAAUUAUGCUAUGCACGUAGCGAUUUAUUGCGCACUUGUACAUCUUCAAAUCGAAUGAAGAUAGGUAUUAUUGCGUGUUGCCUAAUUAACUUCCCUCAGCAUAUAUUGGGAAACAUGAUAGGUUUACAUAUAUGUUGAGAUAAUUUUUUCCACUAUGUAACUUUUAUUCCUAGUUUAGUUUAUAAUAUUCAAAUUCAAUAUAUAAUAAGAUAUCUGUAAUUUAAAUUGGAGACUUUAACGAUAUUUCUCAAACUUUUUUCUUUGAAUUAUAGAAUUUUAAAUUUUUAUUUGUAGAUGAAAGAAUCAUUUGGAAAGCUCAUUUGAAGAAGGAAGGGACUUCGACUUGACGUGGAUCCGAAUAAAGUAGCUGAGUGGUUAGUAAAACAAUAUUUUCCAAGCCCACUUGAAUUAUUAAACUAUAUGUCAAGAUAAAUGAUCAGAGACGUUUUUAAAUAUAGCUUUUCACUAAACAAAAGUUUAUUUCAAAUGCGCUUGGGAAAUACUUUGGAAAAUGACAUAAAUAACCUUUGAAUUUUGACCCAAUUUACAAUGUGGUCGUCGAACUUCAACUUAAUGUUGUUGACAACUAAAUUUUGGCUACCAUAUUUAAUUCUUUAUUGCAUAAGAAAAUUAGAGGUUGGUCUAACCGCUAAACAAAAAUAUCAUUAGCAUUAUUCAUAUUUAUAUCACAUGCAAAUCACAUGGCCCUUUGCACAGUAUUAUCAUGUAUCAUUGUACGUGCAAUUGAAGAGACUUUUUUAAAAUGUGAUCGGACAUGAUGAGUUUGAACUCCACCCUCAACUCCUUGUUGAUGAAAUACAAUCUCUAACGGUUCGAUGGUUAUCUGCAAUUAUCAAUUCAAUUCUAUUUUGAAAAAGGAGAAAAAAUUAGGGUGAAGAGAAAUAUUUGGGCAAACUAAUCCACAAGUUACAAAAGAAAGGGAAAUAUGAUUGUAAGGUGAUUAAGGGUGCAUUUGGUUGGACUUUUUGGGAAAGUUAUUGGGAAAAUGCAAAGGAUUUUAGGUUGAAGGGAUUUUUCAGAAUGCAAAUUGUGUUUGGUAAAUUACAAUUUAAAAAUCCAUUGUGAAGUACCUUUGAGCAAAAUGGUGUUUGGGGGAAUUACAUUUACAAAGGAUAGGCGGCGAGGUCGCUCGACGCCGGCGAUCGAAAAUUGACCGGCAAGGGCAGGCGACUGCUGGCGAUCGAAAUUUGUCGCCAGCGGCCUACAUCUGACUCAAGCAGCCCCAGAGACGAUUGGGGAGGGCUGCCCGGGGUCGAGCGACCCCUGAAGACCACUAGCAAAGGCUGCCCGGGGUCGGGCGACCUUUGGCGAUCCCACCGCCCUCAGAUCUGGGGCAGUGAGGUCAACGAUGUCGUUGCCCCCGGAUCUGGGGUGGUGAGGUCGCGCAACACCGUUGCAACCUUCGGCGACCUAGGAUCUAGGGCCGCGAGGUUGCGUGACAUCACCUCGACCUUCGGCGACCUCGCCGCGACCUAGAUCCGAGGCGUUGAGGUCGCGGGAGGACCUUGCUGCCCCAAUCGUGCGACCUCGCCGCCCCUGGAUCUGGGUCGCGGGAGGUCGUGCGACACCGCUGCGACCUAGAUCCGGGGCGUUGAGGUCGUGAGAGGACCUCACCGCCCCAGAUCUGGGUCAUGGUAGAGUCGCGCGACCUCGCUGCCUUAAUCGCCUGACCUCGCUGCCCCCGGAUCUGGGUCGCGGGAGGUCGUGCGACGUUGCUGCGACCCAGAUUCGAGGGCGGCAAGGUCGCGUGACCCAAAUUGGGGGUGGCAAGGUCCUCUUGUGACCCUGUCGCCCAAGAUGGUGCAUUGGUCGCGCCACCCCUCGACGACGGUCAUCUGGGUGACGUUCGUUGGUGACUGCCUGCCCAUGAUUGCUUGCCCUUCGACGGCGACCGCUCGUAGAGAAGAAGAAGAAGAUGAUGAUGAAUAGUGAGGGCAAAACUGGAAAAAGGAAAAAUCAAUGAGGAUAAUUUGGGAAGAAAAUUUUUUUUAGCCCCUCAGUUCAGCAUUCUUGGCAUGCUAAAAGCCCAAGGCAGCCCCCAACCUGCUUUGGGCUUUCAGCCUUGUGAAGGCUGACAUUUUGCAAAGGGGUUUUGAAAUUUUUUUGCCAAACACCCAUCCUUGGCCCAAGGAUCUUUUGGGCUUCAAAGUAGCUUCUCAAGGCUACUCCCAAACGCACCCUCAGUUUGAAAAGUGAAAAAAGAAAUGUCAUUAUCUCCAAAAUUCUCUUCAAUAAGAAGAAUCCCUAGUGAUUUUGUGGGAAUAUGCUGCUUUCCUUGCCUUAGUGAAUAAUAUGUCUUUGCAUCGAGUUUGAUCAUUCACAUUCAAGAAAAAAUGUAAAAAGUUUGAUGUUUGCUUUCUUAUACCCCAGGUUCUGUUCCCCAUUCGAUGCUACGAUACCAUAAAAUGAGUGGAUGGGAUGUGUGUAGAUUAUUCUGGUCAAUACCUAAUGCGGUGAAUCGAUAGGACUUCCCGUCUAUUUGCAAACCAUAGUGUCAAACACUGAUAUCUCUACGUCACGAAAACUAAAGUUUCAUAAAUAUUCUCAAUUGUUGGAUAGCAUAAUUCCCCCGGUGAAAAUGACAUUGCCCCAAAAAUUUAAAUAUUGCAGUCUUUUGAUUCUCGAUUGAAUUAGUCUUUGGGUAACUUCCCAUCUAUCUGUUGUACAGAGCGGACCAUGAAAUUAGCCACCCCAUGUUGGCUUAACCCGGCUACAACAGGGCAAGAUAGAGCUAUUCGCACACACAAUCUGAAAAUGUCAAGUUUUGAUAUGAUGAUUGAUUAAUAAACAAGAGAAUUCAUUCAGUUAACUAUAAACAUAGUAAAUAGGGGGAGCCCUCAUCACUUAAUAGGGGUUGCAACGAGAACUGCUCGAACCAGGAAUUGCUUAGAGCGAACCAGACUAGCCGGUUUUGGGCGGUUCCCAAAGAGGGGGGGUCCGGUUCCCAGAUCCCACAUUUGGAAUUGAUGGUCGGUUGGUCAGGUUCCUGAUUCCAAGUUGGGAACAUGACUAAUCAAACUAAUUGGGCCGGACUAGUUAAUUCCUCCCAAUUUCUCCCAUUUUUCAUUUUAUUUUUGGCCCAGUUCCACUAGACUGGUCAGUCGGUCCAAUUCUUGAUUCCAGGACCACUCAGUUUAGUUCCCGGUCCCAGAAUCUAGAAACUGGUCCUCCAGUUCGAUUCCUGGUUCCACCUUAGAACUGGACCGGACCGAGAACUGAUCGGUUCGAUCACUUUCUUAAUCUAUUAGUUCUAUCUUAAAAAAGAGUGUUAGAAUAUUCAAAUAUUAAAUCAUACAUUCAUAUAAUGAUUUGAAUUUGUCGAGUAAUUGGGUGUGCUCCAUUUUCACCAAUGGACGGUGGAUGGAGUCUUAAGGACCACAAUCUCUCUCUCUCUCUCUCUCUCUCUCUCUCUCUCUCUCUCUCUCUCUCUCUCUUCUCUCUCUCUCUCUCUCUCUCUCUCUCUCUCUCUCUCUCUCUCUCUCUCUCCACAUAUGUGUAAACUCUAUAACUCUACAAGUCAUCAAAUUCAACUGUAUGAACCCAUCGCUAUCUCAAAUGAGGCCACAAUACCUUGUUCUCAUUGAACUUGGCCUCAACGACAACAAGAUUUCACCACGAUUAGAGUCAAGUUCGACGUCAUCAAUGACAAAAAGGCCAUGGUGCAGACGACGACUAUUAUGGUUAGCGAUGAAGAGAGAUCCAGAGAGCAAAGCCAAAAAGAGAAAUGCAUCAAUCAAGUUUGCACAUAUGUUGGCAUCAGAGUCAAUGAUUUUGGAGGUGGAAUGGUGCUGGCGUUAAAGUGGAUGGUUUGGGGUGCAGAGUCGUGGCGACUUCAGGCAGGUUAGAGCUUUGUAUGUGGUUACUAAGGCUAGAUUAUUAAUGACCAUUGGACCCACCAUAAGUCGAUAUAACAAGGUAAAUCGACCCUAAGCGGACAAUACAUCCAGCAUUCAAACAUGUCAACAUUGCCUAGAUUAUGUCAAUAUACGCCUUACCCUACUUGAUCUCAAGUCAACUUCUAGAUUCAAACUCUCUCCCAACAUAACAUCACUUGAUUUCCUUUGGAAUCUUGGGCAUCAUUUCCCCAACGUGGUCAUCCUCCUCUAGUCUGAAGGCUGAUGCCACAUCAAAACUUGUCUAGCCAUCUAGAAAAUUAUUUGCAAAGAGAAAGUGGGGCUCGAGCUACUUCUUCAAGCUUGUCAAGUAGCCGAGCCGGUUUGACGUUUUCGCCGCCAUGCUAUUUAAUUGUGGUCAUGCUCAUGCAUGAGAAAAGAUCAUACGAUUAGUCACCCCCUUCUCUCUCCAUCGUCCUACGUGUCACCCCCUCCCCCCUUCUCUCUCUAGAUUGCUUACUGUUUCUCCAUCUCUAUCCUCUCUCUCUCUCUCUCUCUCUCUCUCUCUCUCUCUCUAAAACUAAGUCAUGAAUCCAGACCUGGACUUCUUCUUCUCCUUCGCCACCCGUACGCAUAUAUAAAUGUCCGUAAAAACCCACAGCAGUCACCGAAAACACCGCAGGAUAGGUUGUUCAAUAUCGCUUCAAUCUUCUCUUACCAGAAGCUGACAUUCUGCUGGCAUUCCAAGAAUGGGAAACUGUUGCAGACCUGAAUCUUCAUCAUCAACGAUCUGGGCCGGC